UAUCCAUUCCCGUCUCCUUCCACCAAAUCGGCAAAAUCCCCAAUUCACCGUGGCAAACCCUUCCCCCUAGCCGAGUUCGCUGCAAUGGUGCUGACCGUGCGGUGUGAGAGUGUGAGUCUGUGAGAUCCGCCAAAUCCGUCCUCCUCCCUCCACCCAAUGGAGCACAGCGAUGCGGCCAAGCGACUGAAGCUCCCCGACGGCAGCGACGAGGAGGACCGCCUCAGCGCGCUGCCGGACGACAUUCUCAUCGACGUCCUCGCCAAGCUCCGCAGGGCCACCGCCGUCGCUGCUCGGACCAGCGUCCUCUCCCGCCGCUGGCGUGGCCUCUGGGCGUUCCUUCCGGAGCUCCUUUUUCCCGUCGGCACCGAGCCGCACCACAUACGGUCCGCCCUCACAGCGCACGAAGCGCCGGCCAUCCGCUCCCUCUCCGUCCACCUCCGGGACGCCGAUCCGGAGUCGGUGGCGACCUGGAAAUGGGGAGUUGUUGAGCUGCCUUGCAUUGAGAGAGCCACCGCGAUCUGGCUCAUGCUAGGUCAUUUUGACCUCAAUCUUCCGCCUUCCGGCGUGUUUGGCAGGCUCACCGAUCUCCGUCUCGUAGCCUUUAGGCUGCAUGGUCCGUGCAGGCUCGGUGAUAUGGUCUCCUCGCCGUGAUGCCCGUCCUUGCGGAAACUAUUCCUCCGUGAUGUCGGAGUUCUGGGCAACAUCGUAGUCCACUCGGAGUCUCUCCUACAAAUAGAGAUGGACAAUGUGGGCCUACACAACCCCAGUGGUGGCAUUGUCAACAUUCGCUCGGAGUCUCUCCUCCAAAUAGAGCUCACGGAUUUUGCCUUGAAGCAGCUCACUAUAGUGGCACCAGCACUCAAGCUCCUAAAAGAACGCUGCUACAUGGAUUUUGAUGUGAAUUCCAGCGAGCCAGCUGCCAAAAUCUCAGCCCCUCAGCUCAUUUCGCUCGAGUGGAAUUAUUAUUGUGGUCCAAGAUCCGUCCAGUUUGAUAAGAUGGCGAAUCUCUCUUUUCUCUACGCUGGCCGUCUUCCUGCGCAUCCAUUUAAUUUGUAUUUACCACAUAAUCCCACUGGGCUUUUGCACUGCUUUGAGCACAUCGUCUGUCUUUACUUCACGCUUGUCUAUCGGAAGGUGAGUUUGCUCUUAUUCGAUUUAAGUUAUUCAUCAUUGUAAUAAGCCGCAAAGUCAAUAGUGGUAAGGAAAACAUGAGUUGGUCUUAAGGAACAUGUCAAUUGGUAUAUUUGACAAAACAUUAGUACAAAAUUCUCACUUGUAUUUGUUUCCUCAUGCCCCGGUAACAUGGCUUAGUGCAUGCAAUCUUUAUUCUUUCCCACUACAUUUAUAUCCUCUUACAAUAACAUUGAAUUCUAGCACUACUGCACUAUGAUUUUAGUCAUUCAAGGGGCCACAGUGGAGAGCAGACACAAAAGAUCAUAUCCUUUUUGUUAAUCACUUCGUAGAAAAUGAGAUGUCUGUGUCUUUUUCCAACUGUUAUGUAUACUCCUUCUGUUACUUCAUAUCAACCUACAGGACAUUGCCAACCACCCAUACCUGAUAGAAGAAAUGCCAAGGCUCCCUCAUGUUAUGUUAUUAUCCCUGAAUGUGGAGGCAAAGGGACAUUCCUUUGGAGCUAGUUUAUUCCAUGUUCUCAGGAUGUGUACUAAUGUAAGAAAGCUGGCUCUUGCAUUUGACGUCAGUACUGAGCAACUGGAGGAAGAAACUGGAUGCCCAUCAGGUUGCGUAUGUGAUCAGCCACCAAACUGGAAAACCGAGGAACUCCAGCUGAGUUGCCUCUGGAACAUAGAAAUUACAGGCUGGAGAGGAGCUGAAAAGGAAGUUGCUUUUGUGGAGCGGUUAUUCAGUUGGGCAACAGCGCUGAAAGAAGUGAGAGUAACUUUCCAUCAGUCAAUCACUGGAAGCAUCGCCGAGGAUCUCUGUCAGACAUUACUAAGCUUCUCUAGGCCAGAAACAUGUACGGAAUUUCGCACGCACGGUGGUUUGUUCAAGAAGGUUGUGGGCAGCAGCCUGUGCCUUGCACUAGCUGGCAGUCUCUCUCUUGGUAUCAUCUGGUUGCACUCUACUCUGUAGUAACGAUCAAAAUCAUGUUACAGGACAAUGUCAUCAUCGGCCUGUUUGGCAAGGUUUAGGCUGUUAGAACUUGCUUAUGUUUUAUCCGCUGUACUGUCAGAACCUGUUUAUGUUGCAUGUGUUGUAAGCAAGGUUUUCAGUAUCGAGAUUAGGCAGUAUCGUUUUUUUUUUCCUUCAACAGUAUCGUAUCGUAAUAUCAUGACACUAUGCGGUUUC